GCAAAUAUAUGGGUGAUAGCUGCAGGGAAAGUGAUAUUAACACGUGAUAUUUAUUAUGAACUUGACAUUUAAAUUCUUAAAAAAUACAUAUUCUUAUAUUGAUGAGAACUACGCCCCCCCCCCCCCCCCAGGGAGAGGUCCAACUAUAUAAAAAAAAUGGUGAUUCAGGAGAGGGAGGGGAAAUUUGAGGGAAAGAGAAAUGAGUAGCUGAGACUGAAGCUGGUGAACCCCUGAAGAAUUUAGCUAGUUUCUUUUUCUUUUUCUUUUCAUUUUUUUUUUUUUUUUCAUUUAAGGAAAGUGGAAUGCAGAAAACAAUGAUAAAGCAAAAGCGCCAAAGGAGUGGAGGAGGCUCCGAGAGAAAAAGGGCGAUAAACACGUCCGCUGGCUGUGGUGCCUUAUAGUAACCAUGUCCACCAUCUCAAGACUCUUCCUGACAUCAAGGAGCCCUUUUAAAGUAUGUAUUGUCCACUGUGAUUUAUUGUCCACUGUGAUUCCUGCCUGAAGAAUACAGCAUUUCAAGGAUGAAAAGCUACAGCGGAUGUACUCAAUGUAAUACUCAAUGACAUAAUGAAGAAGUGAUUAGAAUUUUAACACUGUUUAAUAAUUAUAUAGCUUGAAAUUAUAUUUCAACACUCUUUGUAAAUCUCUUUCUGUUAACAUUCUGAAUUCAGUUAUUAUCCUUUUGGUACAUUUGAAUUUCUGCAUAGCAUUGGUGGCUGUAGAGUCCUCUGCAAGUCAGCACAACAUAGACUCUAGUCUUCUACAUUCCCAUUGAGUUACAUAGCUAGUAGAAUUGCUGCUAAAGGACAGAAAACGUUUAAUGUCAAUGAAGUUCUUAGGUUUGUGUGUGUGUAUUAAAUACAGGCACAUAACCAUAUUUUUAUAAUCCUGUGACAUAGUAAACUAUGAAAAUAACAAACAAUACUUUUUUCUCCCUCCACCCUAUUGGGUUGGCACCAAAUCGUAUUUGGUAACUAAACUUGACUAUGCUAACAUUACCAUUGAUAUUCUUAUUUAUCCCACUUAGUGUGAAUAUUGAGAAACAAUGUGUUAAAUUAUAAAGUAUGGAUGGAAAGUUUAUGUAAUAUAUGCUAUAUGCAAAAUCCAUUAACCGAGGUUUCAGAUAAGAGAUUGUAGAACUAUUAUUUUGUUUUUUUCUGAUUUAAUGUGAUCAUUAUUUUCCUAUUUUUCACCAACUCUAAAAGGUAUAUAUAUAUUAAAUAUACAUAUUUAAUAUCUACACAUUUUUGUGAAAUAAAACCUGAUGUUGUUGACCUUAUUUGUUACUU
rnacentral:lncRNA from 12 species